AUGAAAUAAAAUCUGGAAGAGAGAAAUAAAAACAGAAUAAUUCUUAUCAAGCCUGCUGACGGCAACACAUUUAUAAGUUGUUUAUUUUUCAAUCAUAAAGUUCGGUGUGUGCCUUAGAUUUUUUAACAAACAAUCAUGGAAUUUUAACCUUUUUUUUUAUCAUGAGCACCGUAUGACUAUCCACAGCCAUUUUUUUCAUAUAUUACUGAUAAAUGUUUUUUUUUUUUUUUGGAUCAGCCUUUUUUUUUAUUAGAAAGCUUGGGACUUUAAUAUUUUUCUUGACUUGUGAAGAUGAUGUUUCCUUAUGAAGUCAAUAGCUAUAAAAGUGAUUCAGAUUCCAUAGAACCUUUAGUAUUUGGUACACUGUAUGUACCUUAGUUUCUAUAAAUAUCUUGCAACCCUCUCUAGGUCAACAUCUUUAAUAGGACUUUGGAAUUUAUACUCCAACAUAUAUACUUUGACAUAUUAUUUCUUUAUUAACAGUUUUAUUAAAAUAUUUAUUUACAAAGAGGUCCAAUAUGAGUGAAUCAAGGUUCCUUAGCAGGGUUCAUGCUUGCUGGAUUGUUGUUGACUUUAUAGUGAAAAAAUGAAAUUAAACCUGAGAUGGUGAGGAGUGGUAUAUUUUCCAUUUUAAGAUGGAAAUUUCUCUUUUGUAGAUCUAUCGAUUUGGAUCAGCUAGUCUUAAAUUUUAAACAUGAAUACAUAGACACAAAUUCAGUCUUGCAAAUAGUUUCUAGAAGUUAUGAAAUAAGGUUGAUUAGUAAAGACAAAACAUGACUAUUUUGAUGAUUUUGUUUAAAGCAUUUGACACUGUUAUAUUUUGGGCAUUUAUUGAUAUUUUAGACAUUUAUUUUAUAGGUCAGAAGCACUGGAUGAUAUAAGUUGAUGUCACCUUGACUAGAUUAUGCUCCAAUUGAUGGAAUUUGUUUAAGUAUCUGACCCUGAAGUUGAUCUGGACAGAUUGAAGGUAAUUUCAUAUUGAUAAUAAAAAAAUGAUUUGUUUAAUUUGGAAAUAAUAUAUUAUUUGAAAUAAGAAGAUAUGGUAUGAUUGCAAAUGAGAAAGUUAUUGAUCAGAGACCAAAUGACUUGGAUGUAUUAAAACAACUAUAGAUCACAGUAUGGCAUUGGACAAAGAGCAAAACCCAUACCUGAUAGUAAGCUAUAAAAAGACAUGACAUGACCAGAUAUAUAUGUUAAUGUAUAAAGAAAACCAGCAGCCUGGUAUAUGACUCAAACCAAAAAACUAAAAACAAAUAUGAUGCACCCUAAACAGUUACAACAACUGAAAAUGUAAGUUCUGGGGUAGAGUUAUAUUUUUUGCAAUCACUAGGACAUUUUUCUAAAAUGGAAAUCAAGGUCAAGAUUGUUGAUACCGGGUGUCUUUUUGAUAAUUUUAUUCAUCAGAUUUUUGUAGUUAAAAUCGAUUAAGGAUUUGGAUGUACAGCAGAUUGGUGGGUGGGCGGUCAGCUGCCAAACAGUUUCCCCAAUAACAUGAGAACCACCAGUUACUAUGGUUACUGUAUCUAUAUAAAUAGGGUUCAAACAUUAAUCCACCAUUCUCCCUAUGAUGAAGGUAUCUGUUGUACUGAAAUCGGUCAGGCUAGGAAACAUCAGCAGGAGCUGUUUAUUAUGUGUAUUGGCAUAUGCUAUAUUGUUUGACUAAAGAAUAUUACUAAUCAACUUUUUGUACAGCAAAGUUUUUAAAGUAAUUUAUUUGAUAAUUAUCAUUAUGUAUUUAUUUCAGGUUCUGAAUUUGUGUUCAGCUUAAGAAGCCGGUGGAUAAGAAAAAGAUGCUUUUUAACUGCAAUGUUCAAGAAAAGUAAACCAUUGUUUGAAGAGGUAAGUUAUCUUCUCUAUGGUAAGGUUGUCUCUGACACAUUCUUCAUUUUCAUUCUCAAUUAUAUUAGAUCAUUCAAUGUUCCAUUAAAAUUUGAAAAAUAAUCAACAAAGAAGACUCUUUACGUCUGUGCCAUUUUAUUAGAUCAAUUUCACUGUGUUGGAAAGUGUUUACCAUUUGACAAGUUUUGUAGUAGGUUGUUAAUUUGUAAAUAUUGUGAGUUUAUCAAUAAGAAAUUCAAAGUUUUUGUUGUUUAAGCAAAAGUAUACAAGGCUUUACCAGAACAUAACUAACUUGACCAAGAAAACAUUUGCAUAUAGAUUUCUGAGAAUGGUUUGGUUUAGUACAUAUUUUGUAAGAAAGAGCAGUGGAUCUAAAAUUGCUUAUGAAAUGAGGAGAAUUGCUAAUUAAACAAGUGUCCACUUGUAACCAAAUGACAUGGAUGUAAGCAACUAUAGGUCAUUAUACAGUCUUCUACAAUGAGAUUUCCAGAAAAAAACAUACUGAAUAGUAAGCUGUUAAAGGCCCCUUCAUGAUAAAAUGGGGAAAAAAAUCAAACUAAGAAAUCAACAACCUGAUCAAUGAUGAAACAAUUACGACAAACAACUACCACUGAAAACUUUCCAGAGGGAAAAGAUCAUGUAUUACUUAUGUUACUACACUAUUCAGAUAACCAGAAAUCCUGGAUUUUAGUCCUGGCAGGAUAAAGUACUGUAUAUUCAGAAAUUAUUGCGUGCAUUAAUUAUUGCGAUUUUUUCAUUUAAGACUGAAAUGCGGUUUUAAUGCGAUAUUGUUAAAAAUCUUGUUUAAUUCAUAUAAAGAAUUAUUGCAAUUAUAGCCCUGUCGCAUUUUUCAUAAUAAUAAAAACAUCUCAAUCAUUUCUGAAUUUACAGUAACUAAAAUCAUGUAUAAGCACAACAUAGGGCUUUAUAUAAAGUUUUUAAUAUAAAAAUCACUAAAUUUUACACUUUUUUUUAAUAACAUUCAUUGCAUUAUCAUUUUUUCUUGCAGAAACAUACACUGGAUGGAGAUUAGAGUUUUAUUAAUCAUGGAGAAUGGAAGAUUCUUGGCAUGUUACAAUGACAGUUAUGACUAUUUGAGAAAGAAACAGAAAUUAAAUGAUCAGAAAAUAAAUAAUAAUCUAGUAUUCUAGUAGUUUUUACAAGCAAUCAAAACAGAGAACAUGAAUUUUGGCUCACCUGGCCUAAAAGGCAACGUGAGCUUUCUCAUCACUUGGCGUUCAUCAUCUUCUGUAGUCUUUAACUUUAUAAAAAUCUUCUGCUCUGAAACUACUUGUAAAAUUUAACCAAACUUGCCUUCAAUCAUCUUUAGGCAUCUAGUUUAAAAAACUUGUCUGAUGACCCCAGCUGCAAACCA
rnacentral:lncRNA from 1 species